AGUUCAAUGAUGUGUUUACAUCGUUUACAUUCAAAUUAUAUUAUAUGAGUUUGUAUAAUGGCAGACGGAAACCCUCCCUCUCGCGAGGAAACAGCCUCCGUCUCACAGGUGCACAGGUGUGUGUGGAUGAAAGAGAAGGUGUGCACAUGCCCUGAGGCCAGCUACAACCAACCCUACAUUCAUUCAAUAAUGAUCCUUCCGCAGGUUCACCUACGGAAA
rnacentral:misc_RNA from 1 species